rnacentral:rRNA from 1 species
UACGGGGGGGGCAAGCGUUGUAGUGAAUUACUGGGCGUAAAGGGCUCGUAGGCGGCCAACUAAGUCGGAUGUGAAAUCCCCAGGCUUAACCUGGGAACUGCAUCCGAUACUGGAUGGCUUGAAUCCGGGAGAGGGAUGCAGAAUUCCAGGUGUAGCGGUGAAAUGCGUAGAUAUCUGGAGGAAUACCGGUGGCGAAGGCGGCAUCCUGGACCGGCAUUGACGCUGAUGAGCGAAAGCUAGGGGAGCAAACGGGG